UCUUUCAAAAGUUGCAACUUGCAGCUAAGUGGUAACCAGUAGGUGACUCGAGAGUGGAGAGUCGAAUUUGUAUUUUGUAGUUGUAGAACAACAGACCAGAGUCGACUUCAGUAUCCUUGGGAAGUUCGUCCGGGAAAGUUACGCCAGUGCUGCCAUUCGUUGAAUAUCUAAAAUUAGUUAACCACGAUGGACGUUUAUUAAGGCCCACAAGCAUGAUGCUGAAAACUCUCUCGUAUUUUGGUUAAAUGUAUUGCUGUUGCAUGGCCAUACACUUUGUUGUACCAUUCUGGUGUUCUUCCCCUGCAGAAAAAUAUUUAAGAGCUUAAAAGCUUACCUUAAGACACAAUAAUCAACCGGAGGGCGAGGAGCCAUGGAAUUACACAUGUACUGGAAUACUUCAGCUUGGCGGUCAAGGCGAUUUAUAACUCUCCAUUUAAAUAAAGAUUCAUCCC